rnacentral:lncRNA from 1 species
GAGAGCCGAAGGUGGGGCAUGAGUCAUUCUCCUCCUACCCCGUUCCAGCCCUCCCUGGGGGUUGCGCAUGCAUGCCCUAUGUCGAGUCCGUUCAAAUGAGGAGGGACUGGUAUAGAGCCUGCGCGUGGGUGGCACGUGAUCUCUGUUUCGCAGGAAAAGGAUCUCAGAAGUGGAGACUGAGCCCAGGCCCUCAGACUGCCCACCCAGAGCUCUUGGAGUCUGAAUUUGGAAUCUGGGGAGUCCACUUAGACCCAGUAACUGCCCUCCUUUCCCCCUACUCCCCCAUUCCAACUCAAUAGGGUCCUUUCACCUCUUUUCAUCCAUUACUCACCUGCAUCCCUAGGAUGAUUGAUAUGUAUCUUUCCAUCGUGGCCCAGGGCUCUUUCUGCUGCUGACAUCACCUUGUGGUUGGAAGGAGGUUCCUGGAGGAUGGAAGAGUCCUUUUUGGCUCCGCUGUCCAAGGCAUUUCUUUCUUUCUCUGUUCCAAGUGGCUGCCGUGGUGAAGACUGGGGUACCCCUAGGACCACAGAAUUUAGAGCGGGAAGGGAGUCCCACCUGCUCAUUGAACAGAAGAGGAAACUGAGGCCCAGAGAAGGUGAAGGGACUUUGCCAAGGUCACACAGAGUGCAAGAAGAGCAUGCGGCUUGGCUGGUGCCUCAUCACUGGAAGUUUUCAGACAAAGACUGAGUGGUCACGUGUCCUCUGGGGCUGUUGUUAAUGGGAUUCCUGUGCAGGGCCAACCCGCCCCCACCUUCCCUCACCCUCUGGAUGAGAAGCUCAUCUCGUGCUUCACUUAAAACAUGGAGACCGUCAGCUGUGAAAGCCUUGGCUAUUCUGAGCAACACAAAGAUCCAGAGAAUUCCAAAGGACCCGUAGUGAAAAAAUGCUCUCCUCCUCCCCAGUGAGAACUGAUGAACUCUGAAUGCAUGCUCUGAAAGCAUACUUUUUAAACUUUUAUUGUUCUUUUUUUUUGUCUAUAUUUUCAUUUGCAAUGCGGCUAAUAUGGAAAUAUGUUUUGCAUAACUUCACAG